AAUGGAGAAUAGGUCCACGUGACAGUUUGGCAGCUGCUCCUCUCCCCCCACCCCUCACAACCCUCCGCUUCUGAGGCUGCGCAGGGGGCGGAAGGGCUUAGAGUAGAGCCUUGAUUUUGCCGCCUCUUCCAGGAAGUCUUCCCAGACACUCAGCUGUAAAAGUGGAGGUUCAGGCCAGCUAAGACGGACGUCCUCCCAUAAAAUGAUGCUUCUCAGCGUGGCCAGCUUCACGGGCGUGCAACCGGCUUGGAAGGACCCCGCGCUUGGUUUAAUGGUCUGCUGUUACAGUCUUGAAGUUCUUAUAUUUUGAACAAGGGGCCCCACAUUUUCAUUUUGCCCUGGGCCUUGCAAAUUAUGUAGCCAGAUUUGCUUCUAAGAGUAUAAGAUCGGUUAUAUCCCCAGUUCUGGAAUUAUAAGGCUCUGGGUGGAAGAGUCUAUGAUUCGACCAGAACAGAAUCUAAGCAUCUUUUGUCUCCCCGAUGCUCGAGGCUUUGCGCUCACCGUUCUAGAUUCCAGGGGCCUUUGUUCUCCGUUCUAAGAGGCUUUGUUCUCAGCCUUCUGAGAUGCUCUGUUCUCAACGUUCUGUGGUCCUAAGAGUCUGAGCCUGACAUUGGUUUCCAAGGUUCCCUCCUCCCUCCUCUGGCUCCGCGAGCGGGGCUGGCGCCCCCUCAGGCGGCCAGCCUGUGUCACUACGCCGAGUGUGCGUCCCUACAAGCUUCAAGAUGUAGUGCCAAUAUUCAUACCCAUUUCUCAGACAGACCUUGACUCUUUAAAAGCCAGGGACCCGAAGAUCACGUGAGAAUGUCCCCAUUUUAUGACUUCCUGCGCACCAGGCGACCUCCCAGUCGUGAGCCAGAGAAGCAACGGCAGGGAUUGAGGGCAAAAAGAUUGCCUGGGGGUGAGCCGCAGCUCUGCCACUUUCCAGCUGUGUAACCUUGGGAAACUUGCUUAACCUCUCUGUGCCUCAAUUUCCUCAUCUGUGUAAUGGGGGUCAUAACACUGUCUGCCUCAUACAGUUGUUAUGAGGCGUAAAUGAGAGAUUUGUCACUUUGACACUUGGAGCAGUGUCUUCCAGGUAUAAAAAGCCACGAAAGGGUCUGGAAAAUAAGCACAAAUGAGUCUGGACUUUAGUAGGGACAAACUUUACUCAGUCUCCCUCUUGUUUAAGACAGAACUACACCGUCCUUAAACGGCCUUAAUUUUCCAACAAGGGAGAGAUGACACGGACUGACCCUGGGCGGAUAUGGAGAGCUCACUCUCCAACAAGAUUUUCUUAGUGUCUGCGGUGAUGUCAGGACUGGCUUUUCGUCCCUGCUGUUUGUGCAAGACCUGUUGAACCAUUUGAUGUGUAAAAUGUUGAAUCUGGAGCCGACUGAGGGCACCAGGCGUUUGAAGAUGAGUAUUCCUGGGAAGAGAAAUCCAAAGAGAACUAUUCAUGGUUGAAUAAGGGCCUAAAACCAAGAUCUGAGGCCAGACGGCAGCCAGUCGAGAGGGUUCCGAGAAGGAGGUGAGAAGAGAUCGUUGGUUGGUGGCGUCAGAACAGCGGUAGCAACUGGGCAGACCGCCUUGUCGGCUUCUCCAUCUUCUUGUUCGUGGUGAUAAUGUCUGAGUUCCUGAGGAACAGGCAGGAGCUGCUCCCAACCACAGCACACAAGUUCCUCCCCUGGAAGCCCCUUGCCUGGGUACAGACGUCGCCUGAAUAUGGUCGGAGGCCAUGUCAGAUCCUUGGAAUUUACUCCCAAGCAUCUGGCUUCUUAUUCACGCCUCCUUUAGAUCCUAAGGAAAAAAGAGAUCACAGUCAUCCCGGAUCUUGUGUCUGUGUGGUGAUUUUCAGCCCCCACACGAUUUGGCAGACCCCUUCGUCUGUGAGGACUUGGGGGUUUGAGAAGAGAGUGAAUUUUAUCGAUAGAAUGAAGGGGAAUCGAAACUCUGACAAGAUAACUGGAGCCCAUUCGGCUGGUGGACAGACACCAGUCUGCGAAACCUCCACACACAGAGUCUGCAUCCUUGGGGUCCAUCCAAGCCACAUAAAAAUAAUUGUCUUGUUUAUUUGAGCGGUCAGAAAACAAGUGUUGAUUAAAGGUGGAAAACCAAGAAGAAGCUGCGGGGGACAGGACUGGGCUAUGAGAUGAGUCAUAAGAGGAGUGAUGCCACUGAUCCCAAGAGAAAUUGUCAGCAGCAUCAGUUGACUUGAGUGACCCAGGCUGGGAUGUUAACAAAAUUAGUGGCCAAGAUAGAAGCCGUGUGAUUGUCAAGGACGAAGGCCUGAGGAGUCUUUCCAGACAUUUCCCAGUCUGGGUCUAUCACUGGAGACGGAUUCAACCCUCUGUCGUCUACACUCAUGGAUCUUGGACCAAUCCGUUUUAGAGGGAGCGGCAUUCAGGAUGGAGGCUAAGACGUUCCCCAACAGUACAGCUCGGGAUUUUGCCUGCGAGCUGCUCUGGCUCCUUUGGAGAGCCUCAUUGACAGGCUCACUCGGAGAUUUCAAAUCGAAGAGCUGCAGCUCCGGAACCGACCAGCAGGCGGACUCGUUGCUAUAAAUUGGGAAGUCCUGGACAGUUCCCGAUACCAGCCUAAAUUGGCCGCUAAAUACCGCCCUGUUUUUGCAGGGCGCAGGAAAGUCUUUAAUAUGGCGUGUGAGUCUGAGUGUGACCCAAGGUUUAAAGAGAACUCGUCCACGUGCAUGCUUGGAUGGCCCCCUCAGCUGUGGGGCCAAAAGUCUGGGUGACAACGGGAAGCUGGGGAGCUGGAGGGCAGGGG
rnacentral:lncRNA from 1 species